ensembl:lncRNA
GGAGAGGCCAGACGGUGCCCUCCGCCAGGAGCUCGGCGGCAGGAGGCGGAGGGCGGUGGUAAAGGCACUGCUCUGCCUGCAGCUGGUGCUGGGAUGGGGCAGGCAGCGCAGGGAUUUUUCUCUCGUGGGAGUUUCCUCCAACUCCAUCAACAGGUCGUUCUGAUUUCCCCUCGUUAGUGAAAGGAGAAUCAGACCCUAAAAGGGCUCUGAGAGGUGCUGGUUGUACACCCAAACCUGUAGGUGAUGGUUCUGGUCCCUCUCCCUGCCAGCUCUGGGUGCUUGUGGCAAAGAGAGGCUCUCCUCUGGCUGCCCUGUGUCCGCUGGAGAGACACGCGUGUCCUCUGCGCUGGUGGCUGGGGACAGAGGGACACCUUGGACGGACAGACAGGGCUGCAGCGGGGCAUCUCCUGGUGCUGGUGCCAAGGACAGACCCCUCCUGUCUGCAGCACCCUCCUGGCGAGGACCAGCACGGUUCCCCAGCACGGCAGCUCCCUGCCAGGCUUGCUUCUGGAACAGCCGCAGAUCUCGUGCAGCUCUUUAAUCAAACGUUUCAGAGCCUCAAGAGCUGGAAAGGAUUCGGGGAAUGCGGCUGGGUUGUUUGCAAACUUCUCCGGGCUCUAGGCGUGCUCCCAGCUCUCCUUUCUCCAAGACCAAAGGGAACCUGAGCCGGGAGCCCUGCAGAUGUGAGCUUCACCCCAAUACAGGGCUGGGACCAGGCACACGAGCCAGAGCCAGUGGCCACAUUCAGGAUAUUUAGGCUGGGUCCUGGCUGGAGCAAGGAUCUGCAGCAAAGCCCAGGGCACGUGGAAGUGGGAGCCGCCUCCCUGCUGAGCUCUGCGGGAUGCAGCAGCCCGUGGUUAGGGCUGGGCCCUCUGCAGCUGACCUCGGGUGGUGUUUCAGCGUCCAAAAGAACUUCAGCGGCUUCGAGGGUGAUGCCUCCCUUGGAAACAGCAACCUGAAAUUACAGCAAGGCCACAAACGCAUCCGCUAGGGAGUACAGGGCGGGCUGGCGGCGGGAUAUCCAGCUCCCAGCUGGGGAAGGGAUGCGAGGAAGAGCCAGGAGCUAUUUCAGCUCCCCGUGCCACCCCCUUCCUCGCGCUGCUCCAGCUCGAGUGCUAACGAAUGCUUCACGGGGAGCGGUACCAGCGAUGCUCAGCGCACGCAGCACGGGAGCAGCUCCUCACCCUGUCCUGUGCGGGGAAAUCCCUUCGAUGAAAUCCCUUCGAUGCUAACGGGGCUGGAGGGGGAAGGAAGAGGGGUGGGCACGAGCGCAUCCCGCUAGGAGCGACGAGCUGCUUCGCUGAGCCCUGGCAGGCUGCGCCACGUCCUUCUGGUGCUUUUCGGUGCUUGCUGUCGGAUUUGAUAAUUGCAGCAGGCUGGCUUGCUUCCUCCCUGCUGGAAAAGGGCUGCCGUGCUCUGAGCCUCCGUGCACCUGGAGCAAGGCUGGAUCUUGUAGGGCUGGUGCUGGUCGGGAAGGUUGGUGAACGGUUGGUUAAGGAGAAGCUGGAAGAGGAGGAUAAAUCCCGCUGCAGUUGGGCAAAGAUGCUCAGCCCUCGGGAUGCAGCUGGAAGAAGGAGCAGGGUGUAUAAAGGGCAAAGAAUAGGGCUUGACAAGCAUCCUGUCGUGCUCGCCGUGUCCCCUUUCCUCCUGCCGGCACAAAGCAAGAGGCAGGGCUGGCAGCCUGACACGGGGAGAGCAGCCUCUGGUAGCCACCGGGGUAUUUUCCGGCGGCAGGGAGGCUCCGAGCAGUGAUGCUGAGGCCGCUCCGUGUUGUCAUCCGUGACGCAGAUGUGUCACCGUCCCCCGGGGUCCCCGUGCGGCAGCAGCCGGUGCCAGCUCCUGCCGGCGCGGCCGUCUCCGACUCCACAAACGCAGGAACCUGGGGCCGGAGCAUCUGCGCCUGCAGCGGGGAGCUGGCCGCAGACCCCGCCACGGACGUCCUGAGGAGCCCUGUGGGCACGGAUUGCGGACAGAAAUCCCUGCCUGGCCUGGAAAGGGCCCACGGGGGACCCUUGGGUUUUAGGGGAGGUGGGGGUGGCCACACUGGCUCUGCCUCCCCCUUCCACACCCCUCUGUCAGCACAAAGUUCAACACCAAUAGCCCCGUAAUUCGGUCCUGAUGCAAAUCCUGCCUCGCCCUGGGUUUUGCUCGGGCUGCUGCAGCCCCAGGAUAGGCACCAAGGAGGGACCUGGUGGGGCAGAAAGAGCUGAGAAAUCUAGGGGAAGAAACAAGGGGCUGGGGUUAAGACCCCAGACUGGGGAUCAGGGGAUGGAGCAUCUGCUCCCAGCAGGGUUUGUGCCUCAGCAAGCUUGUUCUGUCUUUUGUAGCCCUCCCUGAGCCCGCUGAGCUGAAACCCCACCAAUUCUCUGUCCUCUGCCCGUCCGGUGCCCAGGGCUUCUCUGGAGCCCUCGCUCCUGCCUUUCCCCCGCAGCCUCCCUGCGAAAACGCUUCCCUCAGAGCUCCGGAAUAAAAAAAAAAAAAAGAAGAAACA